rnacentral:rRNA from 1 species
UACGUAGGGUGCAAGCGUUAAUCGGAAUUACUGGGCGUAAAGCGUGCGCAGGCGGUUCGCUAAGACAGAUGUGAAAUCCCCGGGCUUAACCUGGGAACUGCAUUUGUGACUGGCGGGCUAGAGUAUGGCAGAGGGGGGUGGAAUUCCACGUGUAGCAGUGAAAUGCGUAGAGAUGUGGAGGAAUACCGAUGGCGAAGGCAGCCCCCUGGGCCAAUACUGACGCUCAUGCACGAAAGCGUGGGGAGCAAACAGG